rnacentral:rRNA from 1 species
GGCGGCGUGCCUAACACAUGCAAGUCGAACGGGACCAGGGGCAACUCUGGUUCAGUGGCGGACGGGUGCGUAACACGUGAGGAACAUGACUUUCGGCGGGGGAUAGCCGGCCCAACGGCCGGGUAAUACCGCGUACGACCACAUGGGGACAUCCCCGCGUGGUGAAAGCAGCAAUGCACCGAAAGAGUGCCUCGCGGCCUAUCAGCUAGUUGGUGGGGUAACGGCUCACCAAGGCAACGACGGGUAGCUGGUCUGAGAGGAUGGCAGCCACAUUGGGACUGAGACACGGCCCAGACUCCUACGGGAGGCAGCAGUGGGGAAUAUUGCGCAAUGGGCGAAAGCCUGACGCAGCGACGCCGCGUGUGGGAUGACGGCCUUCGGGUUGUAAACCACUGUCGGGAGGGACGAAUGCGCCGCAAGGCGAGUGACGGUACCUCCAAAGGAAGCACCGGCUAACUCCGUGCCAGCAGCCGCGGUAAUACGGA